CAUCCCUCUGCACGGAGCAGUAGAGUACUCCCCAAGGAGCAGGGUGGGCACGUUAGCAUCCACUCGGAAGCCCUCAGGUGUAACUUACUCAAGAGCAGAGGCUGGGAAGAGAGCUGACAUCAUGGGAGAAGCUUUUGACACCUGUAUUCCUCACACCUGUCUUAUGUGCCUGGAGAGAAAAAAGUUUAAGGAUUGCAGCUCAAACUACAGUGACUAGGGAGUAGAAAGAAGUCAUGUUUUUCUCCAAGCCAGACAAGAAAUCCUGCAAGAGCAUGAACAUCUCAGCUGUUCUCGGCCUGCAGUUGUCUUCUUUGAAGCUGCGUGUGAGUUUGGCCUGAGAAAGGAGACAGGAUCAACGUCUUCCCUCUCUCCCCACUAUGAUGGGCUAAGCUGUGUCUGCCGACGUUCACGUGUUGAAGUCCUAACUCUCAGUGUGACUGCAUUUGGACAUGUCGCCUUUAGGGAGAUAAUGAAGGUUAAAUGAGGUCAUCAGGGUGGCUCCUGAUGUGAUAGGACUGGUGUCCUUACGAGAAGAGGAAGAGACUCCAGAGGCCACUCUCUCUCUCUCUGCACACACGGAGGCAAGAUCAGGUGAGGAGAUCUACACGCCAUCUACACGCCAAGGAGAGAGGUCUGAGGAGGAACCACCCUUGAUCUUGGACUUCCAGCCUCUAGAACUGUGAGGAAAUAAACAUCUGCUGCUGAAGCCGCCCAGACUGUGGUACUUUGUUAUGGCAGCCGAGCUGACUGAGACGCCCGCCUUGCCCUUCUCCCUGUCCUGCCUCCUUUCUACUCUUGCUUCUGGUUUCUCCAGGGAGGACAGGGGGAGG
rnacentral:lncRNA from 1 species